rnacentral:rRNA from 1 species
AGGGAAUCUUCCGCAAUGGACGCAAGUCUGACGGAGCAACGCCGCGUGAGUGAAGAAGGUUUUCGGAUCGUAAAACUCUGUUGUUAGAGAGGAACAAGUGCUAGAGUAACUGUUAGCGCCUUGACGGUAUCUAACCAGAAAGCCACGGCUAACUACGUGCCAGCAGCCGCGGUAAUACGUAGGUGGCAAGCGUUGUCCGGAUUUAUUGGGCGUAAAGCGAGCGCAGGCGGUUCCUUAAGUCUGAUGUGAAAGCCCCCGGCUCAACCGGGGAGGGUCAUUGGAAACUGGGGAACUUGAGUGCAGAAGAGGAGAGUGGAAUUCCAUGUGUAGCGGUGAAAUGCGUAGAUAUAUGGAGGAACACCAGUGGCGAAGGCGACUCUCUGGUCUGUAACUGACGCUGAGGCUCGAAAGCGUGGGUAGCAAACAGGAUUAGAUACCCUGGUAGUCCACGCCGUAAACGAUGAGUGCUAAGUGUUGGAGGGUUUCCGCCCUUCAGUGCUGCAGUUAACGCAUUAAGCACUCCGCCUGGGGAGUACGACCGCAAGGUUG